GAUGAACGCUAGCGGCAGGCCUAACACAUGCAAGUCGAGGGGCAGCACAUAAAGUGGUUUACUACUUUUGGUGGCGACCGGCGGACGGGUGCGUAACGCGUAUGCAACCUGCCUCCAACAGGGGGAUAACGGAGAGAAAUUUCCACUAAUACCCCAUAAUAUCAGAAUCGGCAUCGGUUUUGGUUGAAAACUCCGGUGGUUGGAGAUGGGCAUGCGUUGUAUUAGAUAGUUGGUGAGGUAACGGCUCACCAAGUCAACGAUACAUAGGGGGACUGAGAGGUUAGCCCCCCACAAUGGUACUGAGACACGGACCAGACUCCUACGGGAGGCAGCAGUGAGGAAUAUUGGUCAAUGGGGGCAACCCUGAACCAGCCAUGCCGUGUGCAGGAAGACGGCUCUCUGAGUUGUAAACUGCUUUUACAAGGGGAUAAAUCGGUGUACGUGUACACCAUUGAAGGUACCUUGGGAAUAAGGAUCGGCUAACUCCGUGCCAGCCGCCGCGGUAA
rnacentral:rRNA from 1 species